GACGAACGCUGGCGGCGUGCCUAAUACAUGCAAGUAGAACGCACAGUUUAUACCGUAGCUUGCUACACCAUAGACUGUGAGUUGCGAACGGGUGAGUAACGCGUAGGUAACCUGCCUGGUAGCGGGGGAUAACUAUUGGAAACGAUAGCUAAUACCGCAUAAUAUUAAUUAUUGCAUGAUAAUUAAUUGAAAGGUGCAAUUGCACCACUACCAGAUGGACCUGCGUUGUAUUAGCUAGUAGGUGAGGUAACGGCUCACCUAGGCGACGAUACAUAGCCGACCUGGGAGGGUGAUCGGCCACACUGGGACUGAGACACGGCCCAGACUCCUACGGGAGGCAGCAGUAGGGAAUCUUCGGCAAUGGACGAAAGUCUGACCGAGCAAAGCCGCGUGAGUGAAGAAGGUUUUCGGAUCGUAAAGCUCUGUUGUAAGAGAAGAACGGGUGUGAGAGUGGAAAGUUCACACUGUGACGGUAUCUUACCAGAAAGGGACGGCUAACUACGUG
rnacentral:rRNA from 1 species